GAUAAUCCAUGGUAGUGAGUUAUCUCAAUUGAUUGUUCAGUCAGUUACAGAUUGAACUCUUUUCUACUCUUUUUCCAUGCUCACUACUUCACUGGACUAGUCUUAA
rfam:Gorilla gorilla gorilla genomic chromosome, chr17, whole genome shotgun sequence